rnacentral:rRNA from 1 species
AGGAUCAUUAUUGAAUAAGCUUGGUUGGGUUGUUGCUGGCUCUUUGGGGGGCAUGUGCACGCCCAACGCCAAUCUUUUUUACCACCCGUGCACCUUUUGUAGACUUGGAUAUCUCUCGAGGAAACUCGGUGUUGAGGACUGCUGUGCUCCAAAGCCGGCUUUCCUUACAUUUCCAGUCUAUGUCUUUAUAUACACAUUAGUAUGUCUAUGAAUGUCAUUAUGGGACUUGAUUGUCCAAUAAACGUUAUACAACUUUCAACAACGGAUCUCUUGGCUCUCGCAUCGAUGAAGAACGCAGCGAAAUGCGAUAAGUAAUGUGAAUUGCAGAAUUCAGUGAAUCAUCGAAUCUUUGAACGCACCUUGCGCUCCUUGGUAUUCCGAGGAGCAUGCCUGUUUGAGUGUCAUGAAAUUCUCAAACCUUUUCGUCUUAUGUUUCUAAGUCGACUGGGCUUGGAUGUGGGAGUUUGCGGGCUUCUCUAUCUGAAGUCGGCUCUCCUUAAAUUUAUUAGUAGGGACCUCCGUUGCCUUAUCAUUUGGUGUGAUAAUUAUCUACGCCAUCAUGUAAAAGCAGCUUUAAUUUGUUUCGGGGGGGAGGGGUUACUGCUCUCUAACUGUCCCUUUUGGACAUUUUUAUGACAAUUUGACCUCAAAUCAGGUAGGACUACCCGCUGAACUUAAGCAUAUCAAUAAGCGGAGGAAAAGAAACUAACAAGGAUUCCCCUAGUAACUGCGAGUGAAGCGGGAAAAGCUCAAAUUUAAAAUCUGAGGGUCUUUGUGACCUUCCGAGUUGUAAUCUAGAGAAGUGCUAUCCGCGCUGGACCGUGUACAAGUCUCCUGGAACGGAGCGUCAUAGAGGGUGAGAAUCCCGUCUUUGACACGGACUACCAGGGCUUUGUGAUGUGCUCUCAAAGAGUCGAGUUGUUUGGGAAUGCAGCUCUAAAUGGGUGGUAAAUUCCAUCUAAAGCUAAAUAUUGGCGAGAGACCGAUAGCGAACAAGUACCGUGAGGGAAAGAUGAAAAGAACUUUGGAAAGAGAGUUAAACAGUACGUGAAAUUGUUGAAAGGGAAACGCUUGAAGUCAGUCGCGUUGGUCAGGAAUCAACCUUGCAUUUGCUUGGCGUACUUUCUGGUUAACGGGUCAGCAUCAAUUUUGACCGGUGGAUAAAGGUUAGGGGAAUGUGGCAUCUUCGGAUGUGUUUAUAGCCUCUGGUCGCAUACAUCGGUUGGGAUUGAGGAACUCAGCAUGCCGAAAGGCCGGGUUUAAACCACGUACGUG